UGACGUCAGUAACCACAGGCAGCUGGCAGCAGCUUAAAGAAAAAAAAACAAUAAUUAAAGACUUUUAAUUUCAGCUUUCCCAAAAGGACAUGUGGCUCGCUGUCACAAGACUCUGCGGUGUUAAAUAAACGUUGGCAGACAGAACUCGGAGAGGCCAAACGAGGACGGCAGCAUCAAGGUCAGCUGAAAGGCAGCAGCCGAGGAGAAUGAGGGGCUGGCGCUGGCCCCUGGCACGUACUGUACAUGACCCCGGGUGGCUUUCCUUUUAUCAUAAGGCAGGAGAGGACUGCAUACGGAAUUAAAGAUAUGCACGAAGGCUACUAAGUAAUCUGAAUCUUGUGCUUAACAUGCCAACGUUAGAAAAGUGCGACAAGAUGCAGAUUCAAUUCUUACUCCUUCACUAAAAACCACUAACUGGACUAAGCGGGAUCAAACGUGGAUGAAUGUAUUUUUUCAACAAUGUAAUGUAUUUCUUGUAUGUACGGAAAAAGAGAAGACAAAGUCAUUCUUCUGAUUAAAAGUUUUGAGCUACAAGAGAACCUAGCAGAGAAAUAUACUUGCGGAUUCUCACACAAAACUUCACUAAUUUUCAAUAUUUUACUAAUCCUAUCAAAUGAAUUCACUCUUACGCACCAAACUGUGAUUCUUCAGAAUACCGGAUACCAGUCUCACCCUCUGGAAAUGACCCUCCAUCUACCGCAGGUUGGUGUUAUGUGGGCAUCACCUUGGCCUGGUCCAGCCAUUUGGGUCCUCAACAAUGAGGGUCCUGUGAGCCGGAUCAACCUCGGGUAAUCGCGCCUCAUGGCCGUGGUGCCGUAACUGACAGGUAAUGUGCCUCAUUCAGGACUCCAUGAGCAACACAAAGUCAAACCAGCGGUACCUAAAGAUUCUCGGAAGAAAAACAAGAGUCUAGUCUUUGUCUCAGUUCACUGGAUAGCAUCCAGGUCUCACAAACAGGAAGCACCAGGACUCUAAAGACUUGGACCUUCGUCCUUUUAAAGAGAUAUCAGAAGCGCCACACACCUCUUUACAGAGACUUCAUGACCACCCCAUGCUCCACCAAUCCAUCUACAGACUUCAUAGGAAGAGUCACCAGAGACACGAAUGACACCGCCGAGCCCAUCUUCCAUUCUCCAUCUCCCCCAGUUCACUCUGCUUGGGUCUUGCAGCCACGGUCUCAACCUUCAUCUCUUGCCUCCAUCAACGUCUGCCAUGAUGCCCCAAAGCCAGACCUUCCGUCUUCUUCAUGCCAUUCUGGCACCCUAGGAGGGCUCCUCUUUCAUUCCUUCCUCCUUCUAGUGCUCAGCGGGGAGACAAUCUGCCCCUGAUGCUUCGCUUCUCCACAGGACCACCGACCACCUGCUCCCCAUCUGCUAUCUCCCCGAUUCAGCCUGCUUCCUUUCACGGUUUUUCUUUCCCCUCUUCUUCUGCUCAGGUUCUCCCCUUAAACACCAGUGGGCACAGCGCCCUAUAGUGGCCAUCUGUGGAGUGGCGAUGUGGGGCAACUGACCUAAUUAAACUAUCAGCUCAUCGCCACACCGUACAGCCCGCGCCUGCCCAGCUCCUUAGACCCACACCCACCCACAAGUCGUGCUGUUUUUCUUAACAGGCCUUAACCCAAAUGUGCCUCCCAACACACGCAUACGUAGAUUUUAGUAAAAGACAAUGACUUUCUUUGUAAUCUUUAUAUAUAUACAGAUGUGAAGAAAUGCGUUGGACCCUUUCUCGAAAACAGAAGCAUUCACAGAGAUGAAAUAACUUAAAGCUGGAAAAAGUCAUUGGCACCCAUCAUUGUGUAUUUUGUAAUUCGCGAAAAAUCAGAAUUUGUGUUUUGAGUUUGGAUUCAACAAAAUAUUUCAAAUAAGAACACAAAAUGUUUUGUAAAGAGGGAUGGUCCAAAAUACCUUCAACC